rnacentral:rRNA from 1 species
UAAGGAGCUCGUAGGUGGUUUGUCGCGUUGUUCGUGAAAUCUCACGGCUUAACUGUGAGCGUGCGGGCGAUACGGGCAGACUUGAGUACUGCAGGGGAGACUGGAAUUCCUGGUGUAGCGGUGGAAUGCGCAGAUAUCAGGAGGAACACCGGUGGCGAAGGCGGGUCUCUGGGCAGUAACUGACGCUGAGGAGCGAAAGCGUGGGGAGCGAACAGGAUUAGAUACCCUGGUAGUCCACGCCGUAAACGGUGGGUACUAGGUGUGGGUUUCCUUCCUUGGGAUCCGUGCCGUAGCUAACGCAUUAAGUACCCCGCCUGGGGAGUACGGCCGCAAGGCUAAAACUCAAAGAAAUUGACGGGGGCCCGCACAAGCGGCGGAGCAUGUGGAUUAAUUCGAUGCAACGCGAAGAACCUUACCUGGGUUUGACAUGCACAGGACGCCGGCAGAGAUGUCGGUUCCCUUGUGGCCUGUGUGCAGGUGGUGCAUGGCUGUCGUCAGCUCGUGUCGUGAGAUGUUGGGUUAAGUCCCGCAACGAGCGCAACCCUUGUCUCAUGUUGCCAGCGGGUAGUGCCGGGGACUCGUGAGAGACUGCCGGGGUCAACUCGGAGGAAGGUGGGGAUGACGUCAAGUCAUCAUGCCCCUUAUGUCCAGGGCUUCACACAUGCUACAAUGGCCGGUACAAAGGGCUGUGAUGCCGCGAGGUUAAGCGAAUCCUUUUAAAGCCGGUCUCAGUUCGGAUCGGGGUCUGCAACUCGACCCCGUGAAGUCGGAGUCGCUAGUAAUCGCAG